GUGGGGAAUCUUCCGCAAUGGACGAAAGUCUGACGGAGCGACGCCGCGUGAGUGAAGAAGGCCUUCGGGUCGUAAAGCUCUGUCAUCAGGGACGAACGGCCGGUGGAGUGGAAAGCCACCGGAUUGACGGUACCUGAGAAGGAAGCCACGGCUAACUACGUGCCAGCAGCCGCGGUAAUACGUAGGUGGCAAGCGUUGUCCGGAAUUAUUGGGCGUAAAGCGCGCGCAGGUGGGAUCUUAAGUCCAUUUUUAAAGUUCGGAGCUCAACUCCGUGAUGGGAUGGAAACUGGGAUUCUUGAGUACCGGAGAGGAAAGCGGAAUUCCCCGUGUAGCGGUGAAAUGCUUAGAUAUCACACAGAACACCGAUUGCGUAGGCAGCUUACUGGAGCGCAACUGACGCUGAGGCACGAAAGCGUGGGGAUCGAACAGGAUUAGAUACCCGGGUAGUCC
rnacentral:rRNA from 1 species